GCUGGCGUGGUCUAAUGGUUAUGAUUUCUCGUUCACAAUCUGUUACAUGUGAAUAUUCCUCGCAGAAUUCCCGAGAAGGUUCCGUGUUCGAUCCACGGCGCUAGUA